GCGUGUGGAAGGCUAAUUAAACCAAAGCAUUUCUUUACACGUAUUUUUGAGUCAGAGUCAGGGUAGACGUCCGCCCGUUUGCAUUUAAAGUGAAGGUUAAUUUUGAAUUAAGCAGCUUUAGUUUUUGGGUAUUGCUUUUGCCUUUUUUAAAUUGGCUGAGGUGUGUUGCAAUUCCUUUUUAGCCCUGCAUGAUUUAUAUUUAUGUAUGUGUAUAUAUAAUAGUAUUUUUUCCAAAAGUUGUUUUUUCUUUCGGAAAGCCAUUCUUGGGCUAUGCUUGUCUUGCUGUCGUCCAGUUGGAUAGACUUAUUCUAGAAUAUUGUUGUCCGCCCGGAGCUCCCUUAGCUCUUUGCUCUCAUCAAGUGAUGCCCCCUUUCUUCUUGAAAGUCCUAUACAUUCUAAAGCCUUAUACUGGUGAUAAAAUAAGCAUCAAACUGCUGGAUUCUGAAAGGCCUGCAUCUCCCAAUGUUAAGACUCAGAUGUCGUUAAUCUAGAGUUGGCAUGAUGUUCUCAAUCACGAGGUCCGAUUUGGUUGAGUAUCUCGUAUGCAUGAAAUAUUGUUUUCAUUUUUGUACUGCAAAAAAAGUAGUCCUAAUACAUGGUAUUCUGGUAAGAAAUAACUGGAGACUUCUUUGCCUUUUUGAUAUUGUUUACACGAGUGGUGACGUAAGUAACCGCACUAAUGCACCUUCACCCCUGUUAUGGAACAUGUUGUCCAGCAAUGUGCAAUUCAUAUUGUAAUUUGAAAUAACUUGCACUUAUAGAGGAACUAACGUCUCUGAUUAUUUUCACUUUCCUGUCUUUGGGUUGAACAGAGGAUUCCUAUGAAAUCUCCAGUGGGGUUUAUUCACUAAAGCAGGAGAAUAAAAGAUUUUCAAUAUCUGACUUAAUAAUGUGUUCUAAAGGGAAAACCCCAACCAAUCUCUCCUGUUACAAGGGCUAAACAGAUCAUGUAUGAUGUAAAGUUAAUCGUUUUGGUGACAUUCAAGUAAUAUCAUUGAUCAGGGCUAACCAAACGUUUCUUGCAGGAGACGCUCAAUGGAGUUGGUCCUUUAUAAUGCAUGGUGACGUCAGGGAGUGGAAAUGUUUAAGAUUUGUAAAAGUUCCUCUUUAAGUGAAUACACACGUUGUAGGAUCAUGAGGAGUAAAUCCAUGUAUUUAUGUCAGGGGCGACUGUUCCUCAUUAACUCUAUAUUACCUAGAUGAACUGGAAUGUUAAUGCUGACAAUUACAAUUUAGUGGCAAUUCGAACUAUACUGGAAGAGUACAUUUCAAUACCCUGACACUAAAGGGGUUAAUGUACCUGUUUUAUUGAAAAAUCUUGAAUAUACAUUAAAGAUCUGUACGUUUUACUGUUUUGUCAUUCUGUCUGUAUGGUAUGCUUUAUUUCUAUUUGUUUUUUUUGUGUGUGUGCAGCUUAAACUUUGCAAAACACUUGAAAUAUAAAUUUUAUAUUUUUGUUUUCGCCUUCCAAAAAAUUAAAGGAAAAUAAAUAUCUACAAAAAGGUAUGUUA